GAUGAACGCUGGCGGCGUGCCUAAUACAUGCAAGUCGAGCGAACAGACGAGGAUCUUGCUCCUGUGGGGUGAGCGGCGGAUGGGAGAGUAACACGGGGAGAAGCAACAUAGAAGACUGGGAUAACUUAGGGAAACUGGGGCGAAGAGCGGAUAACAGGAUGAACCUGAGGGGUGAACAGUGAAAGACGGUCUAGCUGGCAAGGAAAGAGGGAUCCGCGCCGCAGUAGAGAGUUGGUAAGGUAACGGUUUACAAAGGCAACGAGCCGUAGCCGACCUGAGAGAGUGACCGGCCCCACUGCAACUGAGACAUCGUCCAGACUCCUACGGGAGCCCGCAGUAGGGUACCUUCCGAAAAAGGCGAAAGCAUGACGCAGCAACGCCGCGUGGGUGAAGAAGGUCUUCGGAUCGUAAAGCUCUGUUCUUAGGGAAGAACAACUGUUUAAGUCACUAUGCACGUCUUGACGGUACCUAGUCAAAAAGCCACGGCUAACUCCGUG
rnacentral:rRNA from 1 species